rnacentral:rRNA from 1 species
UGGGGAAUAUUGCGCAAUGGGCGAAAGCCUGACGCAGCAACGCCGUGUGAGGGAUGAAGGCUUUCGGGUCGUAAACCUCUGUCGGAAGGGAAGAACGGGUGAGGGUCUAAUAGGCCUUCAUUUUGACGGUACCUUUAGAGGAAGCACCGGCUAACUCCGUGCCAGCAGCCGCUGGAAUACGGAGGGUGCAAGCGUUAUUCGGAAUUACUGGGCGUAAAGCGCACGUAGGCCGCUUUGUAAGUCAGGGGUGAAAUCCCACGGCUCAACCGUGGAACUGCCCUUGAAACUGCAGAGCUUGAAGCCUGGAGAGGGUGGUGGAAUUCCUGGUGUAGGAGUGAAAUCCGUAGAGAUCAGGAGGAACACCGGUGGCGAAGGCGGCCACCUGGACAGGCAUUGACGCUGAGGUGCGAAAGUGUGGGGAGCAAACA